UGCCAGACUCCUACGGGAGGCAGCAGUGGGGAAUAUUGCACAAUGGGGGAAACCCUGAUGCAGCGACGCCGCGUGAGCGAUGAAGUAUUUCGGUAUGUAAAGCUCUAUCAGCAGGGAAGAAGGUGACGGUACCUGACUAAGAAGCCCCGGCUAACUACGUGCCAGCAGCCGCGGUAAUACGUAGGGGGCAAGCGUUAUCCGGAUUUACUGGGUGUAAAGGGAGCGUAGACGGCGAUGCAAGCCAGAUGUGAAAGCCCGGGGCUCAACCCCGGGACUGCAUUUGGAACUGUGUGGCUGGAGUGUCGGAGAGGCAGGCGGAAUUCCUAGUGUAGCGGUGAAAUGCGUAGAUAUUAGGAGGAACACCAGUGGCGAAGGCGGCCUGCUGGACGAUGACUGACGUUGAGGCUCGAAAGCGUGGGGAGCAAACAGGAUUAGAUACCCCUGUA
rnacentral:rRNA from 1 species